rnacentral:tRNA from 2 species
GCCGGAGUGGCGGAAUGGCAGACGCGCCGGACUCAAAAUCCGGUAGGGGCAACUCUGUGUGGGUUCAACUCCCACCUCCGGCA